rnacentral:rRNA from 1 species
AUGGAGGCACAGAUGGAAGAAAACAGGGAAGGAAACACCAUUGGUUUACCAACAAAAACUGAAGGUGCUAAUGGAAAAAUCAGCAAUUCCUAUGAACAUACAUUUGGACAGAUAAGCCCUUACUCGGAAGAUGAUAUGCUUGGAAUUGAGCCACUCCAACUACAUUUUCCUUUUGAGCUUAACAAACAGAUGUCAUGUGCACUUCAGCUAACCAAUGAGAUGGACUGUUACAUUGCCUCCCACGUUGAAAAUACGAGCCCGGUGUCAUACAACACACAGCCACAGAAAGGCAUUAUGCCUCCACGAUCCAAGUGUAAUGUCGAAAUAACAUUGCAACCGCAGGGCCAGGCUCUGAGAGAUCGUGCCAAUGAAUUUGUUGUAUGGAGCACCACAGUGAAUGGUGGCCUUAUAGUUGAGGAUAUAACUAUAAACAUGUUCAUUAAAGAGGCAGACAACGUGGUUGAUGAGGUGAAUUUAGAUGUCGUUUUUGACGGUGGUGAGCCACAAGAAGCAAGUAAGAAAACAAGCGAGCCACAAGAAGCAAGUAAGAAAACUAGCGAGGGUCGGCCUUCCCUAUGGCAUACACGUCUCGGCCUUCAUGAUCCCUUCGGCACGGGUACAGAUGGUGAUGCCACCGAUGGAGCCGGUGGCUACGGUAGCUUGGCCGGUGAGGCCAUCGGAGGUGACACAUGUGAUGGGGCCAUGCGGCCCCGCAUGAUAGACUACCCUUCACUUCCCACCCACAAACCAGCGGGUAGAUCUGACGUCUCAGCAAAUGCCCGAUUUGUCGGCUUAAUCCCGGUCCACAUUUCUGCUGCUGAUUGGGACAUUGUAGCAAGAAUUCUUCAUGGCAAGUUGGUGAUGAGUCUGCUCGAACUUUCUCCCCUGGGUGAAAACCAAGGAUCUAACAUAUAUGGCUGGAUCUGGCGACGACAGCAUUCAUGUUGUUUCCUUCCUGGAGGCAUUGCUAUUGGGCACCUUCUCAUAGUCUUUGUGCCGCCUAUGGCAGUGGUAGUUGUUGAUGUUGUGCUGCAGUGGCCAUCUCACCAGUUGUGUAAGUGUGAGUGCGCGCAUGCAUCGGCACGGGACAGCCACCGGGAUGGAUGUGAGAUCGCUAAACUUAGAAAUAAAACUUUUUUGCAAAAGAUCAUAGAUAAUGGUGAAGUUCAGACGAUCGAUUCUAUAGAUGCAGAUCUGACAGAGCCAUUGAUUAUAACAAGUCACUCAGAUGGCAGUGGAAGAGCUGCUUGCUGCUGCGGAAGUCUACGUGAGGCUGCUGCUUGCUGCUGCGGUAGUCUAUGUGAGGCUGCUGCUUACUGCUGCCCCUAUGCUGCUUGUUGGUGCUGCGGCUGUGCUGUUGCUUUCUGUCUUUCACAUUUUAGCCAUGCUGCUGCUGCUGCUUGCUGUUGCUUGUCCUGCCUGAUGCGUCGUUUGUCACACAAGUCCGAAUCUGAACAGGGCAUGGCACGCUUGAGCCGUUUGACUCCCUGCGGUGGUGACCAUCUGGCGCUGCGGACGGGAUCGGGAGGGCGGCGGGGGCUCGUCCGUGCCGGCUGUUUGAUGCAUGCGGCCGUGCGCAAGUUGUUGCUUGCUGCCGCUGUGUACACAUGCUACUGCUUGCUGUUGCUGCGUUCUUCCCGAGGUGAUUCCUCCCCUCUCCUCCACUUCUCCACCCCUCCCCUGCAAACUCUAGGGCCACAGCCGGCGGCCUUCUUCCUCCUCGCUUCAGUUCACUGCGUUCCUAGUUUUUGUCCAAGGACUCAACAGCCGGCACGGAGACAGAGAAGGGUGGAGAUGGCCGAAUCGACACGUCUCUCUGGCGACGCGGUGGGCGAACCCGAAACACAGCGAUGGCCGGCGUGGUUCGCUGUGGAUCUCAGGACGGCGAGGGUUCUCAGGUACCACCACGACGAGGUGGUCCUGAGCUCGCGCCCGGCGAGGGUGCAUCUCGUCGACGAUCGGGGGUACACGGCAGACGUACGUACUGGGGGAGGGAUCGUGCUGGUCCCUGGUGCUACGAUCGUGUUCCCCUGCCACGUUGCGUAUAUCGAGGGGGAGGCCCCGGACGGGGGUGGUGCCUCGGGAGCCGGCGAGGGAGGAAAUGCGGCCGGUGGGGGAUUAAAUUCGGGAGACACUUGUGAGCUCGCUCCGAAUUCCCCUCGUCUCCCACCUCUUCUCCCUCACACCCCAUCUACUCCUUCGCUCACAGACGCCCGCGGCGGAGAUGGUGGAGAUCGACGAGGAGAAGAUGCAGAGGUUCGCAGGCAGGGACGCGCGCCUGCGAGCCCGUCUGAGGGAGAUUGGAUCGUGGUACACAAGCAAGCGAGAGAGAUCGCUCUUCGGACGCCGCGGGCACAAGCAUCCGCUGCAGGUUCUGCUGUGGGCGAUGGAUCAGGCGGAUUCGCCGGUGAGAUCCGUGGCGAGGAAGUGGGUGGCCUUCACCUCCAUCGAGACCGCGGAUCUUGCCCCGGCCAUGAGGGAAUCGGCGCUCAGAUUCCCGCGAGGGGGUCCUGGCCCUCCCUGCUCCAGGGUCGGCAUGGCUCCGAUCAUGAUCUACGAGGACCCGGUGGAAUAGCCACCACAGGAGGAGCCAGCAACCGCUUCUGGAGGCUGGCUAGUGAAGAUUCAGGCAAUGAUUCUGAUGAGGAUGUCGCCACUUCAGAUAUGUCAUUGAUAAAAAUUAGGCAUAAGGCCACCAGAGUCUGGGAUUUAACCAGAUUCCCUGGAUAUUUAACUGAUGUUGAGAUUGAGGAAGAAAAAUUCAAUGAUGAGGAAAUUGAUAACAGAGGUAUGGUAUUUUGUGAAGUUGAGAAUGUUCACAAAGAUAUAAGGGAUAUUGAAAUCCCAGAAAAUAUUAUGCUGGAAGAAGUGAUUGAUGAAGUUCAGAGGAAAGGGGCAGAGCAUGAAACAGGAGAGGAGAGACGAGGGAGAAGCAUUAUGGACCACAGAAAUUGGGGAAAAGUUGGCAAGUUGGGCCUUGCUGUUCCCAGGCCCAAAAAAGACACGGCGGCGGCAAGCCGGGGAGUGAAUUAUGAGGAGGAAGAAAUCUACUGGGAAGAAGAGGAGACCAUGGCAGGCAUGCAGGAUAAUUGGAGACCAAGACUAGGGAGAGGGGGCAACCUUGGUGCAAGAGGUAAUUUCUAUGGCAAGUCUGGUAGCUUUGGUAGAGGGUUCAACAGUGGAUCUGGUGGGGAAGGAGCAUCGAUAGGAAAUGGCAUGGCAAAGAUGAUGACAACAACAAGCCAGAUAGAUUCAAUUCAGCAGAUGGGAAUGCAGGGUGGACAUGUUCAUAUGGCUGGAGGUUUCCCAAUGAUGAGCAACAACAACUUCCCACAAAUGAGGCCAUCUCACAAUACUGAAGAAUGCACUGUGUUAAAACAAGUUAAACUAGUUGCAAAGUAUGUUGGGUAUGGAGCUAGGGGCCUGGGGUGUCUUCUGGUUCAAGAUACAAAAUACAUAGUAGCUGCUGAACACACAAACCCUAUGGAUUUGGUUACAAUACACUCUGGGCAACUAAAUGAAACCACAAUUGCUUAUGGAUUUAGCAAAAUGUUUGAUUGGGGGUGGACCUGGAGAGCCAAAUUUCAAAGCCCCACAACCUUUCUCAUGAGAUUUCCUAACAAGGCCAAAUUGGUGGAGCUGAAGAAUUUUGGAAAAUUCACUCUGCUUGGUACAGGAGCUAUGGUGGAGGUAGACUUUUGGAGUCCAAAUGAUAAAGUAAAAGGAAAACUUCACUCAGUAUGGAUCAAGAUGUGGGGAGUGCCUGAUACAUUGAGACAUUAUCUGGGUGUAUGUGAAAUUGGUUCAGCUUUGGGGCCUGGGGUGGAAGUGGAUGUGGAACAUAUACAUUCUAAGAAAGAAAUCAGGGUGAAGGUGGGAGUGAGGGACUUACACAAGAUCCCUGCUGGAACUGAGAUAACUACAAAGAACUUGCUGUUACAUGACAUAGGCUUUGAUUUUGACUCUGUUGCAGAACAUCGCUGGAACAAAUUUGAUGAGGGGAAUAAAAGGAAAAUCUUUGAUUACCUAGACCUGGAAAAUUUUGAAGCACAAAGAGAGAAUGAUGUACAGAAGAAGAGCAAACAGACUAAGACUGGAAAACAGAAUGUUAGUCUGGGAAGCCUGGGGCUAAAACAAUAUGAGCAAAUGGUCCUGAGAACUAGUGACACAUGGGGAGAAGACAGCUUGAUGGUGAGAUUACAAAAAGCAGAGGAGCUAGCUGCUAGACAGACUGCACAACUUAUGCUUGAAGAGAAGAAGAGGAAAGAAAUGGAAAUCAUAAGAAAAACCCUGGAGAAGGAGGUCAGAAGACAACAUGAACUAUUGCAAAUUGACCUGAAAGCAAAUGAGGAAGUGAGGGGGUCCCAGUCAGGUGAAAAAAACAUUGAGAUGGGAGAAGAAGAAGAAGCUUUUGAUGAUGAAAUGGCAGCAGAACACAAGCAGAAAAUUGCUGAGGGGGUGGGGGUUAACUUGGGUAAUAAACUUGAUGUGGAUAUUGCCAUUAUUGACACUUGGGAACACACCUUAGAGGAUUUAUUGGAUCAGGGGGAGAAUGAUGAGGAUAAAGAGGAAGAAGAGAACUGGGAUUUACUGAGGGGGCUCUUUUCAUCCAAAAAAGGGAAAAACAAAGGCAAACCAACCAGAGGUUCUGGAGUUAAAACUGUCUCUGUUGUUGACUUCUUGGGUCUACAAGAGACUGUGAGACAACAAUUUUCUAGAAAUGAUCUACAACAAAUCUAUGCUGACAGAGAUUUUCACUGGCAUUUCACCCCAGCUAGGGGGGAAUUUGGUGAUCUUCUGUUGGGAGUUAACGAUACCACUUUGGAGGUGAUCUCACAAGAUGAAGGAGAUUAUCACAUCAAAAUGACAGUCUAA